rnacentral:tRNA from 1 species
UAAGUGGAGGCCAAGGAUGAGGCGCCUAGCUGUUAAUUAGGAGAUUGUAAAGAAGAUUACUCACUUAG